rnacentral:rRNA from 1 species
CUUUUGGGUGUGACUGCGUACCUUUUGUAUAAUGGGUCAGCGACUUAUAUUCUGUAGCAAGGUUAACCGAAUAGGGGAGCCGGAGGGAAACCGAGUCUUAACCGGGCGUUAAGUUGCAGGGUAUAGACCCGAAACCCGGUGAUCUAGCCAUGGGCAGGUUGAAGGUUGGGUAACACUAACUGGAGGACCGAACCGACUAAUGUUGAAAAAUUAGCGGAUGACCUGUGGCUGGGGGUGAAAGGCCAAUCAAACCGGGAGAUAGCUGGUUCUCCCCGAAAGCUAUUUAGGUAGCGCCUCGUGAAUUCAUCUCCGGGGGUAGAGCACUGUUUCGGCUAGGGGGCCAUCCCGGCUUACCAACCCGAUGCAAACUGCGAAUACCGGAGAAUGUUAUCACGGGAGACACACGGCGGGUGCUAACGUCCGUCGUGAAGAGGGAAACAACCCAGACCGCCAGCUAAGGUCCCAAAGUCAUGGUUAAGUGGGAAACGAUGUGGGAAGGCCCAGACAGCCAGGAUGUUGGCUUAGAAGCAGCCAUCAUUUAAAGAAAGCGUAAUAGCUCACUGGUCGAGUCGGCCUGCGCGGAAGAU